ensembl:lncRNA
UUUUUUUUUUUUAGGUAAAUAAUUUAAUGAUGAUAGAACACUAGAAUUUCUUUAAACACAAUAUUUCAAGUUACUAUAUUUUUGUCUGGAGUACAAAUCUGAAAUGGUACAAAUUGUACCCAAAUAAUGAACCAUGAAUUAAGCAAACAGAAUGAAAAAAAAAUAUUCUCCUGACUUUGGUUUCCAUUCCUUACUCCCACUCACUCUUCCUUGCCUCAGACGGCUUCUAUUGAAGACACUCAGUUCAAUCUUUAAAGGACAACAUGAGAGGGUCUGCUGCCGACAGGGCUAAUCCAGACGAGCCACAGGCGCCGGGCAGGGGAGCCACAGACUCUGAAGAACCUCACUUCCUGCUGGAAGCCAGUCCCAUUUUCUACUUUGUUUCAAGCCAAGGCUGCUGAGAUGAGGCACCCCUCAGUAGCUACUGACCAUUUAAGUAUGGAGAGAAAAGCAAGGUAGAAAAAUUAUUUACAUUCUGCCAACAGGGACAGACAAACCUGGUAUGGACUACUAUUAACAUUGUCAAGCCAUCUGCUUUCAGUCUUACAGGCUGCUUAAGAACACUUUUACUACGAGAGCCCUUGCUGGUCUUGGAGCGGCACGGAAUGAGGCGGCUUGCUUUAGUGGUGACGAGGAGGACUCUUACACCAGGUGGCCAAGGAACAGUUGCCCAACCCCAAGUCUGGGAAUCAGAUGAACUGGGGUUUUUGUUGUUGUUAGUACAUAUACAUGGCAUAGUUUAUUAACAAAACUACUUUUCUUGUUUCCUUGCUUUAUAAAGUCACACCCCAUAUAUGGUCAUCAUUAAAACUCACUGACUGCCAGUACCAAAUGUGAAAGGCUCCGAAACUGUAAAAGCAAGGCAAGUAGUAUGGAUCCUGAGACAAACGUUAGAAUGGGUCAGCCCAGACAUUACUCACAGUGGAGUGCAAACACUACAUUUUGUCUAGAACUGCCUGAGAUGGGAGGACUCUGCCCAUGAGCCCCAUCACUCAGUCACCAGACAGGGAACGAGGGCUUCUCUUGGCUUUGGCGCUCUGCUCCCUGGAUGGGUUUCCAAUUGGUGCAGGCAAUGAGUGAGAGGCUCAAAGUAGAGCAACAGCCCAUAGAUCGUCCAACAAAAUACUCUGGAAUCCCACCCAGACCAGGAGCAAGACAGAAGCUAAGGGCUGUUGUCAGCCACAAACUGAUUUCACAAAGCACAGCAGCACAGCCCCCUCCCUUCAGCCCCUUCCUCAACCUAAAGCCCAGCACACAGGAAGCUCUUUGGGAGAGGAGAAGGGAAGUUGGCACAGGGGAGGAUGUUCUGUUUCCCGAAGGCCUGAUGCUCUAGGCCAAACCCAACAAGAUGUCAGAGUGUAGAAUAUGGUCCCACCUAGAAAAUGAAUGGCACUAUUUUAACAGUAGAGCAUCCUGGGAAAAUCCAGGAUGCCUACUCUGAAACUUAAAUCAAGAACAUGGAAGCCACACGAGUAUGCAGCCUUUCAGAUUCAGUACACAGGGCCAGCAGCUCGCCCUGAAAGUCCCACCAAGGACAAGAGCAGUAACUUUUCGAUUUCAAUACAAUUAUGAGCAGAAAUUACAUGAUGUAAAAUAGAGGUCCUUCCAUAAAGCUUAAGAUUUAAAGCAGAAGAAGAGAAGACAGCAACAAAUUUCCCACAAAAUCAAAAUAAUUCCACAUUGUUCUUGUACUCCAUGAAACCUUGAGAUAAUUGCAGUCCUCAAACGCCUGUAUUUGGAUCUAGGUUCGCCAGAACACGUCAGUAAGCUUCAAACUGGCUCAUCAUCAACUUUCUGCUGUAUUCAUAGGCCAAAAAUAGUGCCCCGUUGGCAGGGAACGCUUGGAUCAUAGUAGGUUUCUGUCCAGAAUACAAGGCCAUUAUUCCUUCAUUUCUCACAACACUGAUAAAGGUUCCGAGAAAUCCUGCCUGUUUCCCCGACAUGGAAAGAACUUGAAUUCUGGAUUUUAUACAAUCCACUGGGUAUACAGCAAGCCAGAGGCAGAUUCCACCAACGCCACCACUUAACAUCAAAGGGACAGGGUCUAGUUCAUCUUUUGAUCUCCCACAUGCCAAAAAACGAUCGGCUCAGUUCAUAGCCACCGAAGAAGAAGAAAUAGCCCGGUACUUCUCGAAGUAAAGUGCUCGAGUCCGUGGUAGAAGCCCAAGGGGCCACCCUUCCUAAGGAUACUCUUCACGAGGGACCAAACUGUAUUAUGGCUUUUGGCUAUCUUCCCCGACGUCUGCAUUUCGUCCAUGGUCUAUAGUCGGAACUUCACAAGCUCAAUGGGGCAGAGCAUCAGGGCAGCAAACGCGGAGGCGAAGGAACUGGCAGCCGCAUUAUGCAGGUCACUCAGCUUUGCCUGCUUGUUUAAUCCAACCGCUUUCCGCACCACCUGCUGGCAGAAGC